rnacentral:misc_RNA from 1 species
AAGUCGUAACAAGGUCUCCGUUGGUGAACCAGCGGAGGGAUCAUUAUCGAGUUAUUCAACUCCCAAACCCUAUGUGAACUUACCACUUGUUGCUUCGGCGCGCGCUUCGGCGCCGCCGAGGACACUUAAACUCUUUGUUUUUAUAAGCAUUUCUGAGUGGCCGAAAGGCAAAAAUACAAAUGAAUCAAAACUUUCAACAACGGAUCUCUUGGUUCUG